UACGUAGGGGGCAAGCGUUGUCCGGAAUCAUUGGGCGUAAAGCGCGUGUAGGCGGCCCGAUAAGUCCGCUGUGAAAGUCCAGGGCUCAACCCUGGGAUGCCGGUGGAUACUGUCGGGCUCGAGUCCGGAAGAGGAGUGUGGAAUUCCUGGUGUAGCGGUGAAAUGCGCAGAUAUCAGGAAGAACACCCGUGGCGAAGGCGGCUCUCUGGGACGGUACUGACGCUGAGACGCGAAAGCGUGGGGAGCAAACAGG
rnacentral:rRNA from 1 species